GACAGAGGGUGCAAGCGUUGUUCGGAAUUAUUGGGCGUAAAGCGCGCGUAGGCGGCCAUCUAAGUCGCAUGUGAAAGCCCAGGGCUCAACCCUGGAAGUGCAUGCGAUACUGGACGGCUGGAGUCCUGGAGAGGGUGGUGGAAUUCCUGGUGUAGAGGUGAAAUUCGUAGAUAUCAGGAGGAACACCGGUGGCGAAGGCGACCACCUGGACAGGUACUGACGCUGAGGUGCGAAAGCGUGGGGAGCAAACAGG
rnacentral:rRNA from 1 species